CAGUUGCUUGCUUUCCUCCCAUGUUUUUCUCUCUCUGUCUGUCUUCUCUAGUACAUUGGCCAACACACACCCUCUAUCUCUCUCUCUGUCCUUGCCUUUCCUCAUGUUGUCUCCCUUCGUAAGACACGGGCAGCUGUGUAAUGUGUGCAUCCCCACAGGCUGUGUCUCGGGAGCCAUGGAGAAGUAGGAGGGGACGAAAAUCAUCCAGGGCUGUGACUGUCGGUGUCAUCUCGGUCUCUGUUCAUCGAGUGGGGCUGAUGUAGAUGGGGUUGGAGAGGAAGGCCAGGAUGAGGGCAAGAUUUGAAGCAACAAAUAGAGCUUUAAGUAGUGAUGGCUCAUGCUUGGCUUUUGCAGCUGCGCUUCCAGAGGAAUUUUCCAAGAGCCCUAUCCUGAGGAGAAAGUGGCAGAAGUGGACAUGAGCAGACUGGACAUCCUUGUUAGCAGACAUGAAAAGUCCUCAGCUUUCUGACUCCCGCAUAAUUGGCUUGCCAAGGGAAAAGAAAUCAAACGUCAAAGUUUACUCCCCUCGUCGGAUGGAAAGCGAGCGAGAGCAGUGAGCCUGCGAGCAUUGUUGAUGCAAGUUUGGAGCCGUCUACUUGGCAGUGGAGCAGUUGCUACUGUCAGUGAGAUAAGUGUGUGGUUUGGUGAGGGCUCUGCGUAGGGCCCCACUGGCUCCAAGUAGGGAUGCCCCGUUAGCUGGGGCUGGGUUUGUAAGAAAUGGUUCCUAACAAGCUGUGGUUACGAGAGAGACAAGGUCCCCAUUUUCAGGGGCUGCUCAUUUCUCUGCCCAGAUGUGGUGCGUCCUCGGCAGCGGAAGAUUGCAUCCAGGAGGAUGACUCAGGUGGUGAGUUGCUUGCGUUCCUCCCAUUUUUUUUCUCUCUGUCUCUCUCUCUCCUCUAGUGUGUUGGCCAACUUUCUCAGUCUCUUUCCUCUCCUCUCCUCAUGCCGUCUCCCUUCGUAGGACCACGGGCAUCCGUUCUAGGUGUGCAUCCUAGCCAGGUCUCGGGAGCCACGGAGAAGUAGGAGCAGACGAAAACCAUGCGGGGCAGUGGGCGCUAAAGUGGAGCUGUGACUGUCUGUGGUUACUCGGUCUCUGUUCAUCGAGUGGGGCUGAUGUAGAUGGAAUGGGAGACAGAGGCAGGGAUGAGGGCAAGAUUCAACGCACCAAUAGAGCUCUGUGUAGUGAUAGUUAUUGCUUGGUUUUAUUAGUUUGCAGAGGAAUUGUCCAGGACCCUAGCUGGACAGGAAUAUGGCAGAAGUGGACCUGAGCAGUCUGGACAUCCUUCUAAGGAGACAUGAAUAGGCCUCAUGUUUCUGCCUUCUGCAUGGCUGGCUGUGAGUAAGAGGACCGAGGGAAAAGAAGUCACGCCUCAGAGUCUCAAGCCCUCAUGUGAUGGAAAGCGAGCCAGAGCAACGAAACCGUGAGCACUGUUGAUGCCACGCAAAAGCCGUCCUACUGGGAGGGGAACGGCCGCCACUCUCAGUGAGAUAAGUGUCUGGUUUGGUGAUUGCUGUGUUAACAGCCCACCUUGCUCCUGCUAGGGAUGCCACAUGAGCUGGCGCUGGGUUUGUAAGAAAAUGUUCUUGACUAGCUGUGGUUAUGAGGGGAGCAAGGUCCUCAUUUUCAGGGUCUGCUCAUUUCUCUGGUCAGGAGUGGUGUCUGCUACGCAGCGGAAGGUUGCAUCUAGGAGGAUGACUCCAGGUGGUGAGUUGCUUGCCUUCCUCCCAUGUCUUUCUAUCUGUCUGUCUCUCUCUCUUCUCUAAUGUGUUGGCCAACUUUCUCACUGACUCUCCUCUCCUCUCCUCUCCUUGUGCCGUCUCCCUUCGUAGGACACGGACAGGCAUGCUAGGUGUGCAUCCUAGCCAGGUCUCGGGAGCCAUGAAGAAGUAGGAGCAGAUGAAAACCAUGUGGGGCAGUGAGCGCUAAAGUGGAGCUGUGACUGUCGGUGUUUACUCGGUCUCUGUUCAUCCAGUGGGGCUGAUGUAGAUGGGACUGGAGAGGGAGGCAGGGAUGAGGGCAAGAUUUCCAGCACCAAUAGAGCUCUGUGUAGUGAUAGUUCUUGCUUGACUUUAUUAGUUUGCAGAGGAAUCAUCCAGGAGCUCUAGCCAGACAAGAAUAUGGCAGAAGUGGACCUGAGCAGCCUGGACAUCCUUCUAAGGAGACAUGAAUAGUCCUCAUGUUUCUGCCUUCUGCAUCGCUGGCUCUGAGUAAGAGGUCAGUGCUUUUGAAUUCCUCAUCUGUACUCACUGUAGUUUUCUUCACAGGCCGUGUGCUUCCUCGUUGGGUAUGAGGCUCUGGGAUUAAGGCUGGGGAAGGGACAAGAAUCUCCUGAGGAAAGUUUAGUACCAAGGAAAACGAAGUCACGCUUCAGAGUCUACUGCACUCAUGCGAUGGAAAGCGAGCAAGAGCAUUGAGACUCUGAGCAUUGUUGAUGCCCACAAAAGCCGUCCAUCUGGGAGCUGAGGAGAUGCCGCUAUCAGUGAGAUAAGUAUCUGGUUUGGUGAGGGCUCUGUUUACGCCCAACCUGAGUCCAGGAUGGGAAGCCCACUAAGUUAGGGCCGGGUUUGUAUGAAAAGGUUCCUGACUAACUGGUUACGAGGGGGAAAAGGUCCCUAUUUUCAGAGGUUGCUCAUUUCUCUGGUCAGGAACAGUGUCUCCUCCGCAGCGGAAGGUUGGAUUCAGGGGGAUGACUCCAGGUGGUCAGUUGCUUACCUUCCUGCCAUUUUUUUUCCGUCUCUCUCUCUCUCUCCUCUUGUGUGUUGGCCAACUUUCUCACUCUUUCCUCUCAUGUCCUUGUGCCAUCUCCCUUCGUACGACAUGGGCAUGCGUGCUAGCUGUGCAUCCCCACAGGCCAGGUCUUGGGAGCCAUGGAGAAGUAGGAGGGGACGAAAACCAUGCAGGGUUGUCUGUUGGUGUUAACUCGGUCUCUGUUCAUCGAGUGGGGCUGAUGUAGAUGGGAUUGGAGAGGGAGGCCAGGAUGAGGGCAAGAUUUGAAGCAACAAAUAGAGCUUUAAGUAGUGAUGGCUCAUGCUUGGCUUUUGCAGCUGCGCUUCCAGAGGAAUUUUCCAAGAGCCCUAUCCUGAGGAGAAAGUGGCAGAAGUGAACAUGAGCAGACUGGACAUCCUUGUAAGCAGACAUGAACAGUCCUCCGCUUUCUGACUCCCGCAUUACUGGCUGACCGAGGGAAAAGAAGUCACGCCUCAGAGUCUCAAGCCUUCAUGCGAUGGAAAGCGAGCCAGAGCGAAGAGAUAGUGAGCAUUGUUGAUGUCUAUGUGUCGUCUAUCUGGGAUGCAAGCACACGCCACUCUCAGUUAGAUAAGUGUCUGGUUUGGUGAUUGCUGUGCUCACGGCCCACCUUGCUCCUGCUAGGGACGCCACUUUAUCUGGGGCUGGGUUUGUAAGAAAUGGUUCCUGACCAGCUUUGCUUUUCGGGAGAGACAAGGUCCCCAUUUUCAGGGCCUGCUCAUUUCUCUGGCCAGGAGCGGUGUCUCCUAUGCAGCGGAAGGUUGCAUCUAGGAGAAUGACUCCAGGUGGUAAGUUGCUUGCCUUCCUCCCAUGUCUGUCUGUCUCUCUUCUCUAUUGUGUUGGCCAACUUUCUCACUGUCUCUUCUCUACUCUCCUCUACUUUCCUUGUGCCGUCUCCCUUCGUAGGACAUGGGCAGGCGUGCUAGGUGUGCGUCCCCACAGGCCAGAUCUCGGGAGUCGCGGACAAAAAUCAUGGGGGUAGUGGGUGCGAGAGUGGAGCGGUGACUGUCUGUGUUUACUCGGUCUCUGUUCAUCCAGUGGGGCUGAUGUAGAUGGGACUGGAGAGGGAGGCAGGGAUGAGGGCAAGAUUUCCAGCACCAAUAGAGCUCUGUGUAGUGAUAGCUCUUGCUUGACUUUUAGUUUGCAGAGGAAUCGUCCAGGAGCUCUAGCCAGACAAGAAUAUGGCAGAAGUGGACCUGAGCAGCCUGGACAUCCUUCUAAGGAGACAUGAAUAGUCCUCAUGUUUCUGCCUUCUGCAUCACUGGCUGUGAGUAAGAGGUCAGUGCUUUUGAAUUCCUCAUCUGUACUCACUGUAGUUUCCUUCACAGGCCGUGUGCUUCCUCGUUGGGUAUGAGGCUCUGGGAUUAAGGCUGGGGAAGGGACAAGAAUCUCCUGAGGAAAGUUUAGUACCAAGGAAAACGAAGUCACGCGUCAGAGUCUGCUGCUCUCAUGCGAUGGAAAGCGAGCAAGAGCAUUGAGACUCUGAGCAUUGUUGAUGCCACACAAAAGCUGUCCAUCUGGGAGCUGAGGAGACGCCGCUAUCAGUGAAAUAAGUGUCUGGUUUGGUGAGGGCUCUGUUUACGCCCAACCUGAGUCCAGGAUGGGAAGCCCACUAAGUUAGGGCUGGGUUUGUAUGAAAAGGUUCCUGACUAACUGUGGUUACGAGGGGGAAAAGGUCCCUAUUUUCAGAGGUUGCUCAUUUCUCUGGUCAGGAACAGUAUCUCCUCCGCAGCGGAAGGUUGGAUUCAGGAGGAUGACUCCAGGUGGUCAGUUGCUUACCUUCCUGCCAUUUUUUUUCCUUCUCUCUCUCUCUCUCUCUCUCUCUUCUCUAGUGUGUUGGCCAACUUUCUCACUCUCUUUUCUCUCUGUUCCUCGUGCCGUCUUCCUUCGUAGGAGACGGGUAGGCUUGCUAGGUGUGCAUCCCCGCAGGCCAGGUUUCGGGAGCCAUGGAAAAGUAGGAGGGGAUGAAAAUCAUGCAGGGCUGUGUCCGUUGGUGUUAACUCGGUCUCUGUUCAUCGAGCGGGGCUGAUGUAGAUGGGACUGGAGAGGGAGGCAGGGCUGAGAGCAAGAUUUCCAGCACCAAUAGAGCUCUGUGUAGUGAUAGUUUUUGCUUGGCUUUAUUAGUUUGCAGAGGAAUCGUCCAGGAGCCCUAGCCGCACAAGAAUAUGGUGGAAGUGGACCUGCGCAGCCUGGACAUCCUUCUAAGGAGACAUAAAUAGUCCUCAUGUUUCUGCCUUCUGCAUUGCUGGCUAUGAGUAAGAGGUCAGUGCUUUGAAUUCCUCAUCUGUAGUCGCUGUAGUUUUCUUCACAGGCCAUGUGCUUCCUCGUUAGUUACGAGGCUCUGGGAUUAAGGCUGGGGAAGGGACAAGAAUCUCGUGAGCAAAGUGAGUAUUUUGGGUGCCGUUACAAUGGGUGCCUUGUAGUUGCAGUUGUAACGUAGUAAUGGGAGAUGGGUUGAGGAUGGAGCCGUGGGAUAAGGGAGAUGUGAAAUGAAGGAGACUACGCGACAUUGCAGAUGAAGAUGCUAAUUUUUUUUUGGUUCCCGCCUCCCGCUGGGUUUAGUACCAAGGGAAACGAAGUCACGCAUCAGGGUCUACUGCCCUCAUGCGAUGGAAAGCGAGCGAGAGCGUCAAGACUCUGAGCAUUGUUGAUGCCACGCAAAACCCGUCCCUCUGGGAGCUGAGGAGACGCUGCUGUCAGUGAGAUAAGUGUCUGGUUUCAUGAGGGCUCUGCUCACGCCCAACCUGAAUCCAGGUAGAGAAGCCCAGUACAGUAGGGCUGGGUUUGUAUGAAAAGGUUCCUGACUAGCUGUGGUCACGAGGGAGAAAAGGUCCCUAUUUUCAGAGGUUGCUCAUUUCUCUGGUCAGGAACGGUGUCUCCUCUGCAGCAGAAGGUUGCAUCCAGGAGGAUGACUCCACGUGGUGAGUGCUUGCUUUCCUCCGAUGUUUUCCUUUCUCUCUCUCUCUCUUCUCUAGUACGUUGGCCAACACACAACCUCUAGCUCUCUCUGUCUGUCCUUGCCUUUCCUCGUGUUGUCUCCCUUCGUAAGACACGGGCAGGCGUGCUACCUGUGCAUCCCCACAGGCUUUGUCUCGGGAGCCAUGGAGAAGUAGGAGGGGACGAAAAUCAUGCAGGGGAGUGGGUGCGAGAGUGGAGCGGUGACUGUCGGUGUGAACUCGGUCUCUGUUCAUCGAGUGGGGCUGACGUAGAUGGGAUUGGAGAGGGUUAGGCAGGGAUGAGGGCAAGAUUUGAAGCGACAUAUGGAGUUUUAAGUAGUGAUGGCUCAUGCUUGGCUUUUGCAGCUGCACUUCCAGAGGAAUUUUCCAAGAGCCCUAGCCCGAGGAGAAAGUGGCAGAAUUGGACAUGAGCAGACUGGACAUCCUUGUCAGCCGACAUGAACUGUCCUCAGCUUUCUGACUGCCGCAUAACUGGCUGCGAGUAAGCGUAUCGAGGGAAAAGAAAUCAAACGUCAGAGUUUACUCCGCUCAUCGGAUGGAAAGCGAGCGAGAGCUGUGAGCCCACGAGCAUUGUUGAUGCAAGUCAGGAGCCGUCCAGUUGGCAGUGGAGCAGUCGCUACUGUCAGUGAGAUAAGUGUGUGGUUUGGUGAGGGCUCUGUGUAGGGCCUUCCUGGCUCUAGGUAGGGAUGCCCCAUUAGCUGGGGCUGGGUUUGUAAGAAAUGGUUCCUGACCAGCUGUGGUUAUGAGAGAGACAAGGUCCCCAUUUUCAGGGACUGCUCAUUUCUCUGGCCAGAUACGGUGUGUCCUCGGCAGCGGAAUGUUGCAUCCAGGAGGAUGACUCCAGAUGGUGAGUGGCUUGCCUUCCUCCCAUGUCUUUUUAUCUGUCUCUCUCUCUCUUCUCUAGUACGUUGGCCAACACACACCCUCUAUCUCUCUGUGUCUGUCCUUGCCUUUCCUUGUUCUGCCUCCCUUCGUAGGACACAGGCAGGUGUGCUAGGUGUGCAUCCCCAGAGGCCAGGUCUCGGGAGCCAUGGAGAAGUUGGAGCGGAUGAAAAGCAUGCGUGGCAGUGGGCGCUAAAGUGGAGCUGUGACUGUCUGUGUUUACUCGGUCUCUGUUCAUCGAGUGGGGCUCAUGUAGAUGGGACUGGAGACGGAGGCAGGGAUGAGGGCACAAUUCAACGCACCAAUAUAGCUCUGUGUAGUGAUAGUUCUUGCUUGGCUUUAUUAGUUUGCAGAGGAAUCGUCCAGGAGCCGUAGCAGGACAAGAAUAUGGCAGAAGUGGACCUGAGCAGCCUGGACAUGCUUCUAAGGAGACGUGAAUAGUUGUCAUGUUUCUGCCUUUUGGAUCGCUGGCUGUGAGUCAGAGGUUUAGUACCAAGGAAAACGAAGUCAAGCAUCAGUCUACUGUCCUCAUGCGAUGGAAAGCGAGCCAGAGCAUCGAGACUCUGAGCAUUGUUGAUCGCACGCAAAAGCUGUCCCAUCUGGGAGCCUAGCAGAUGCUGCUGAUAGUGAGAUAAGUGUCUGGUUUGGUGAGGGCUCUGCUCAGACUCCACCUGAGUCCAGGUUGGGAAGCCUAGUACAGUAGGGCUGGGUUUGUAUGAAAAGGUUCCUGACUAACUGUGGUUACGAGGGAGAAAAGGUCCUUAUUUUCAGAGGUUGCUCAUUUCUCUGGUCAGGAACCGUGUCUCCUCUGCAGCAGAAGGUUACCUCCAGGAGAAUAACUCCAGGUGCUUGCUUUCCUCCCAUGUUUUUCUCUCUCUCUCUCUCUCUUCUCUAGUAUGUUGGCCAACACACUCUCUCUCCUCUCCUCUCCUCUCCUCUCCUCUCCUCUCCUCAUUCCCGUUUGUAGAACACUGGUUGGUGUGCAUCCCCACAGGCCAGGUCUCGGGAUCCAUGGAGAAGUAGGAGUGGAAGAAAAUCAUGCAGGGUUGUGGGCGCUAAAGUCGAGCUGUGACUGUCGGUGAUAACUCGGUCUCUGUCCAUCGAAUGGGGCCGAGGUAGAUGGGAUUGGAGAGGGAGGCCAGGAUGAGGGCAAGAUUUGAAGCACCAAUAGAGCUUUGUGUAGUGAUGGCUCAUGUUUGGCUUUUGCAGCUGCGCUUCCAGGGGAAUUUUCCAGGAGCCCCAGCCCGAGGAGAAAGUGGCAGAAGUGGACAUGAGUGGACAGACUGGACAGCCUUGUAAGCAGACAUGAACUGUCCUCAGUUUUCUGACUUCCGCAUAACUGGUUUACCGAGGGAAAAGAAAUCAAACGUCAGAGGUUACUCCCCUCGUCAGAUGGAAAGCGAGUGAGAGCGGUGAGCCUGCCAGCAUUGUUGAUGCAAGUCAGGAAUCGACCAUUUGGCAGUGGAGCUGUCGCUACUGUCAGUGAGAUAAGUGUCUGGUUUGGUGAGGGCUCCAGGUAGGGACGCCCCGUUAGCUGGGGCUGGGUUUGUAAGAAAUUGUUCCUGACCAGCUGAGCUUACGAGAGACAAGGCCCCCAUUUUCAGGGUCUGCUCAUUUCUCUGGCCAGGAGCGGUGUCUCCUACGCAGCGGAAGGUUGCAUCUAGGAGGAUGACUCCAGAUGGUGAGUUGCUUGCCUUCCUCCCAUUUUUUCUCUCUCUCUUUUCUCUGGUGUGUUGGCCAACUUUCUCACUCUCCUCUCCUCUCCUCGUGCCAUCUCUCUUCGUAGGACACGGGCAGGCGUGCUACGUGUGAAUACCCACAGGCUAUGUCUCGAGAGCCAUGGAGAAGUAGGAGGGGAUGAAAAUCAUGCAGGGCUGUGAUUGUCGAUGUUAACUCGGUCUCUGUCCAUCGAGUGGGGCCAACGUAGAUGGCAUUGGAGAGGGAGACUAGGAUGAGGGCAAGCUCUGAAGCACCAAUAGAGCUUUGUGCAGUGAUGGCUCAUGUUUGGCUUUUGCAGCUGCGCUUUUCCAGGAGCCCGAUCUUGAGGAGAAAGUGACAGAAGUGGACAUGAGUGGACAGACUGGACAUCCUUGUAAGCCGACAUGAACAGUCCUCAGCUUUCUGACUCCCGCAUAACUGGCUGUGAGUAAGCGGUCAGUGCUUUGAAUUCCUCGUCUGUGCUCGCUAUAGUAUUCUUCACAGGCCGUGUGCUUCCUCGUUGGGUACGGGAUUCUGUGAGAUUACGGCUGGGGUGGGGCCAGAGUCUGCUGUGCAGAAUGAUUAUUUCGGGUGCUGUUGCAAGGGGUGCUUUUUGGUUGUAAUGCUAAAGGUGGAAUGGAGAGGGUUGAGGGCGGAGGACUGCCCUGUCACCAUUUGCUACACCCACAAUUUCCCAUUCCUGGGUCUAUGGGAAAGGGAAUUGACAGAUGGGUUGGACUUUGUCAGAGUUUGAACCAGUGUUCCCUCUAAUUUUUCCUACUCAUGUGUGGAAGGAAUUUUAUGUGCACCAAUAUGGAGGUGAUAUUACCUCCCUAUUGGUGCACGUAACAAAAUUCAUGUGGCGGGUGUGGGGCCGAGGCUUUGGGAGUGUGAGACGGGGCUCAGGGCUGGGGAAGAGUGUUGAGGUGCGAGGGGGUGAGAGCUCCAUCUGGGGGUGUGGUCUCAGGGCUGGGGAUGAGGGGUUUGGGGUCCAGGCUGCCCUGGGACUAGAGGAAGCGGGGGAGAGGACUCCCCGCAGCUCUCUCUCCCCGCAGCAGCACCUGGGCUGGGGGUAGAGGCACCUCUCCCUAAUGCGUCAGCUCCAGGGCUGGGGCCACAGGAUAGGUGCUUCUUCCCCGGCCGCAGCAGGUCCGGGGCUGGGGGAGAGGCAUGUCUCCGCGCCACAGCCCUGAGUCCCUGCACAGUGCUUAAUAUGCUGCUGCGCAGCUUAGAGGUAACUUAGUGAUUUCACACAAGUUGAAACCUAUUUUAAUAAAUUUUUUUCUAAAUUAGCAAAAUCUUGUUUUACUUGUGUGUAAAUUUUAAAAAGAGGUUUCACAGGAGCAACGGCUGUCCACCCCUCGCUUGGUCUAGAGUCAGCCAUUCCUGCCAACCAGCAAUUCAAGCACCAGUGAAGUCAUGUGAUCAUAAAAAUAGACUUGAUAAUGUUUUGGUUUUUAAUAAUGUAUUAAAUAUGGUAAAUGAGAGUCACAAUAAAACCCUAGGAAGUGUUAGAAGAAGAUAUGAAGGUUUCUUGAAAAGUUAAGAAUUAAAAGGUAUGAAACUCCAUUUCCUGGAGGUAAUGGGAAAGAGUGGCCAGUUCAGGGAAUCGGAACAGCUGAGCAGACCAAUUUGUGAACAUCUCUGUUCAGAUGUCACUUGUAUGUAAACACCUGAAUGAAGACUGUGAGUAUUUAAAGAGCAGGGUGUAUGGGGGAGAGAGGGAAGGUGUCAGAAACUCACUACAUCAUUUCAGAGAGAGAAGAGCAGCCUUGUCUAGACCUUCCCCGCUCCCCCCCCCACCUUCCUUUUGCCCCUGUUACUGUACAUGGUCUGCUUGCUCCAGCAUCCUCAACAGCAAAGUAACAGAUUCUGCUGGGGACUGUUUUAUAACACUACAGGAGCUCGGGGGGGCUCUUGCUGUGGCUCAGGUAUGAUGUUCCAGGCUGUAAUCCUGACCAGUGUGGGGCUAUGUCACCUGACCGGCAACGAGGGGGGGGGGGGAGGACACCUCACCGUGCUUCUCUGUUAUAGCUCUGACUUGGGUAGCUCACAAACAGCCUGUCAGCGUGAUGCUCCCCGCCCCCCCCCCCAAGUGUCUGUGUGUGGCUACGACUCUGAUCCCAGAGCUUGUCAGCACUCACCAGUCACACUUUGGCUUCCAUCAGACCUGGGCUACCACAUGCAGGGUGACCCCAACACACUCCCUGUCCUGAAUUUUACCCCAGAAACGUGUUGUGCACUGUCCAGCCAUCUCCUGGACAGGCCAGAUAGAUUAGGUCUGUUGUACCUCUAGGAGGUCAAUAUACAAAAAUCUGCCACCUUGUGGAUAAUUCCAUUUACAGUUCACAACACUGGAUUAGUUUUGGUUCAAGAAUAAAAUAAGUUUUUUUAACUACGUAGAGAGGUUUUAAGUGAACAAAAGUAAUAAGGCAUUAAAGAAGAAAUGGUUACAGAAAAAAUAAAGAGAAAAUGCUUUCUAAACUUAACGAACUAGGCUUGUGAAGUCUCUUCCCACAGGUUCCAGUAAUAUUGCUGCCCAAACCCUCAGGCCAGGAUCUGCUUCCAGGGUCCAGCAGCUGUUUCUCUGAUCAUCUUAGGUGAAAGGGAGAUUAGGAGGGAGAGAGAACUUGGGUGUUUUUGCCCUUCCCUUUUAUAGCUCGGUCACCAUUUGAAAAACAUUUUCCUAAGUGUUCACCUUAGGUUAAGUUUUUUCUUGCUGAGAGCAUGGAGUUUGGUGGAAGAAGGAGGCUUUGUGCUGUUUCUGUUCAUCAGUGUAUACUGCUUCUUUCUUCCCUCUCUUAUCCUCUGUGGAAUCUGUUUACAGCUGAAAUGCAAAUUGAGGCAAACGCACAUCCCUUUCUUUAGGACAGGUGUGCUUGAUCACUUCCACCUAAUCAGGCUAUGUGAAUUGGAACUUGUGCUUUUAAUACCCUAUAGGUGGAAUUUCAUAACUUUACACAGACUGUUGCUACCGCCAUUUCACCAAAAUAGUAUUGAUCACUGAGUUUCAAAUGCUACCUCACAAGGCAUAUUUUGUCCAAAGAUUGUUACAAUAGUGUGUAGGGUGUGAAUACAGGGGUGCAUUUGGCCACAGUGGGUUGGGAAUUAUCCAUUUGUGAAGGGCUCGUUAACCUUUACCCUUCCCUGGAAAUUGCCAGACAAUGAAGGGAAGUGGAGAAUUCUUGCUCCAAUCCUGAAUUGCUGGAAAUCCCAGGCUCGCUGGAGCUUGUUUGAUUUCCCAGUGGAGUCAGUUUUUCUCCCUGGAGGAUUAUGAUUUUCCCCAUUGUAGUUAGUUGCAAUUUGUCUACUUCCCCACAGACCCUCACUAGCUUCUCUAGGCGUUAUCUCAUUGCUUCAAAUUAAAACUGCUGCCCUUUGGGUCUGUAUGUUCUGGGGUAUUUGCUGUCAUGAGUGACUGUGCUGGCUUGGGCAGGUGCUGGGCAAGGUGGGGGUUGUAAGUUUCUGAUGAAGAAUGCUGUGUGUUAAAUAAAAUUACCC